rnacentral:rRNA from 1 species
CAAGCAGUGGAGUAUGUGGUUUAAUCGGAAGCAACGCGAAGACCUUUCCAGUUCUUGCCAUCUGAAUGCCCGUCCGAGAGAUAGGGGUUCCUUUGGGGACUUUCAAGCCAGGUGGUCCAUGGUGUUCGUCACUUCGUGUGUGGAAAUGUUGGUUUAAUUCCCCCACCGAGCGCACCCCUUUCCUUUAGUUCCCAGCAUUCAGUUGGGCACUCUAGAGUGACUGCCGGUGACAACCGGAGGAAGGUGGGGAUGACGUCAAAUCAUCAUCCCCUUACGAGUUGGGCUACACACGUGUACAAUGGCUGGUACAAAGGGAAGCGAAGCCGCGAGGUGGAGCCAAUCCUCAAAAACCAGUCUCAGUUCGGAUUGCAGGCUGCAACUCGCCUGCAUGAAGUCGGAAUUGCUAGUAAUUGCGGAUCAGC